rnacentral:rRNA from 1 species
CCUACGGGUGGCUGCAGUAGGGAAUCUUCCACAAUGGGCGAAAGCCUGAUGGAGCAACGCCGCGUGGGUGAAGAAGGUCUUCGGAUCGUAAAACCCUGUUGUUAGAGAAGAAAGUGCGUGAGAGUAACUGUUCACGUUUCGACGGUAUCUAACCAGAAAGCAACGGCUAACUACGUGCCAGCAGCCGCGGUAAUACGUAGGGUGCAAGCGUUAUCCGGAAUUAUUGGGCGUAAAGGGCACGCAGGCGGUCUUUUAAGUCAGAUGUGAAAGCCUUCGGCUUAACCGGAGUAGUGCAUUGGAAACUGGGAGACUUGAGUGCAGAAGAGGAGAGUGGAACUCAAUGGGUAGCGGGGAAAUGCGUAGAUAUAUGGAAGAACACCAGUGGCGAAGGCGGCUCUCUGGUCUUUAACUGACGCUGAUGUUCGAAAGCGUGGGUAGCAAACAGGAUUAGAUACCCCUGUAGUC